GUCUUUUCUGAUGGAAGGAUAAUAUUUGCGGACUGUUAUUAUAAUAAGAGAUUAGUGAUCGUACAAAGUGAUGGAACUUUAGACACUGAAAUACAUCUUUCGCCUCUAGAACCGUUUGAUGUGACAUGCAUCGAUGACAAAACAGUAGCUGUUACAACGUAUUCUAAAAAUACAAUUGUCAUUGUAGACACGGAGAACAAACAAGUUACAAAAAGAAUUAACACAGGCACAUGUCGCGGUAUAACAUACAGACAAGGGCAGCUAUUCUACUGUAAAAUAGGAAAAGGGAUCCAAGCGAUAAACGUAUCAAACAAUAAAGUAAUCACUAUAGUAGAAGAUAAAACCUUAGAGACUUAUUGCAGUUAUAUUACAACCUCUGGGGAGAACAUUUACUAUACUGAUUAUCAUUCUACUGUCAAAUGCUACAGUUUAAGGG
rnacentral:lncRNA from 1 species